GAUGAACGCUGGCGGCGUGCCUAAUACAUGCAAGUCGAGCGAACGGACGAGAAGCUUGCUUCUCUGAUGUUAGCGGCGGACGGGUGAGUAACACGUGGAUAACCUACCUAUAAGACUGGGAUAACUUCGGGAAACCGGAGCUAAUACCGGAUAAUAUUUUGAACCGCAUGGUUCAAAAGUGAAAGACGGUCUUGCUGUCACUUAUAGAUGGAUCCGCGCUGCAUUAGCUAGUUGGUAAGGUAACGGCUUACCAAGGCAACGAUGCAUAGCCGACCGGAGAGGGGUGUCCCCCCCCCUGGAGCUUCACCAGCCCCCGUGCCCCUGGGGGAGGCCGCAGCAGGCGUCCUCCCGGAAUGGGCGAAGUCCUAAGGGAACAGGGCCGCGUGGGGUGUGAAGUUCUCGGGUUGGGAAACCUCUUUUUUGGGGGAAGAACAAGUGUGAAAGACCCUGUACCCUUCGUGCCGGUACCUAGUAAAAAAGCCCCGGCUAACUCCGUG
rnacentral:rRNA from 1 species